rnacentral:lncRNA from 1 species
CAAAGCAUGACCCACUCAAAUAUUGAAGACUAAAUAUAAGCAAUGUCAACAGCCAUAUGUCAAUACAAUAUGUGAAUCAAUCAGAGUCACUAUCUUGACCAUUUUCCGAUUUGUCAUGAGGCAAAUGGUGUCUCCAAAGAAAGUACAUGUGCAGACGACAUGAAACUUUAGACUGCAGAAUCUUCUGCACAAGCUAAGCAGUUUUUAAACUCGUGUCACAGAAGUGGGAAAGGACAUAUGUGACUACUGCACGUAUCCUUUUGUAAAGUUUUUUUGCCAGGGGUGGGUAUGUAUUUUUUAAUUGAUAUUUGAUGUUGGGUAAAAAAAAUUCAGACUUUUUAAUGGUUGGAUGAGCAAAAUGUUUACCAAGAAAACAUUUCUCUUCGGUGCCAUCGCCCCCGCCAUAAAUGUUGACCGCUCUUUUAUUUUAAAAUUUCAGAACAUGUGUGUGUACAAUGGUUUAUAUGGCGUUAAACCAAAAUAAUGGUUAUAUAUACUGUAAGAUCAAGUAAACCUAUUAGUUUUAUACAAAUGAUGGUGUAUUGUAAAACGAAAGAGUUGGAACGAAUCCUUUUAUUAAAGGUUAGCUGUGUUAAUGGCAACCUUAGUAUUGUUCUAUUUAUAUUACAAAAGUUAAUGUAGUUUAGGCUUUUAUCUUUUUUAAAUUUAACAUUUUGUCAAGAUUUGAAUCUGGUGAAUAGUAGGAUUAAUUGUUAAGUUGCUACUGUUGCAAUCAUCAACCAACAAUGAUGGUCAAACACUGGUUAUUUGAGUGAGAAAAUAAUAUUUAACCUUGUCAUUAUAUGUAGUAGUUUUGUACUCGUGUAUUUAGUUCCUAGUGAAAUUUCAUUUACUAUUCUAUAGCUUAAUUUCCGUCGCAAACUGUAGUGAUUGCAAGCAUUUUGAUCGUACGAAAAUAGCGUUUUGACCAUUCGAAACUUGGUAUGGAUCAACGAAUCAAACACGCUCGUAAUCUGAUUGGCUCAAUGAAAGUGGAUGAUAAUCUAAUUGGUUAAAAUGAGGGAAGACCAGAAAGUACAAAACAGUGGUAAAAGGCUGCCUCGUACCCAUACCAGGC